CCCUUAGAUGUUCUGGGCCGCACACGCGCUACACUGAAGGAGGCAGCGUGUACUCCUGGAUCGAAAGAUUUGGGUAACCCGCGAAUCUCCUUCGUGCUAGGGAUUGAGGUUUGCAAUUAUCCUUCAUGAACGAGGAAUUCCCAGUAAGUGCAAGUCAUAAGCUUGCGCUGACUACGUCCCUGCCCUUUGUACACACCGCCCGUCGCUACUACCGAUUGAAUGAUUUAGUGAGGGCUUCGGACUGGGACCGAUGCGGCUUUCGGGCUGCGUCGGUAUUCUGGAAAGAUGUCCAAACUGUAUCAUUUAGAGGAAGUAAAANUCGUANCA
rnacentral:rRNA from 1 species